GAUCAUGGCUCAGAACGAACGCUGGUGGCGUGUCUAUACAUGCAAGUCGAGCGAGGCAGCAAUGCCGAGCGGCGAACGGGUGAGUAACGCGUAAGCAAUCUGCCCCAUAUCAGGAAAUACCCGUGCCAACGCGCGGUUAAUGUCCAGGAGAGUGGCCCCCUGCAUGGGGGGUUGACUAGAGAUUUAUCGGUAUGGGAUGAGCUUGCGUCCGAUUAGCUAGUUGGCGGGGCAACGGCCCACCAAGGCGACGAUCGGUAGCCGGCCUGAGAGGGUGAUCGGCCACAUUGGGACUGAGAUACGGCCCAGACUCCUACGGGAGGCAGCAGUAGGGAAUAUUGCACAAUGGGGGAAACCCUGAUGCAGCAACGCCACGUGUGGGAAGAAGCAUUUCGGUGUGUAAACCACUGUCAUGAGGGAAUAAGGCCCUUAUCCGUAAGGGAUUGAAUGUACCUUGAGAGGAAGCACCGGCAAACUUCGUGCCAGCCGCAGC
rnacentral:rRNA from 1 species